AUGAACGCUGGCGGCGUGCCUAAUACCUGCAAGUCGCGCGAACAGACGAGGAGCUUGCUCCUCUGACGUUAGCGGCGGACGGGUGAGUAACACGUGGAUAACCUACCUAUAAGACUGGGAUAACUUCGGGAAACCGGAGCUAAUACCGGAUAAUAUAUUGAACCGCAUGGUUCAAUAGUGAAAGACGGUUUUGCUGUCACUUAUAGAUGGAUCCGCGCCGCAUUAGCUAGUUGGUAAGGUAACGGCUUACCAAGGCAACGAUGCGUAGCCGACCUGAGAGGGUGAUCGGCCACACUGGAACUGAGACACGGUCCAGACUCCUACGGGAGGCAGCAGUAGGGAAUCUUCCGCAAGGGGCGAAAGCCUGACGGAGCAACGCCGCGUGAGUGAUGAAGGUCUGCGGAUCGUAAAACUCUGUUAUUAGGGAAGAACAAAUGUGUAAGUAACGAUGCACGUCUUGACGGUACCUAAUCAGAAAGCCACGGCUAACUACGU
rnacentral:rRNA from 1 species